AGUAGUAAGGUUUAGUGAAGUUUGCACAUGGCCAAGGAGACUGCCAUGAAUCCACAUGCAUCUGCCCUCAAUCCUUCGUCUUUUGGAGCAUCGUCUUUUCACACUUUCUACAUCAUUAAACCUGUGGACAAAGAGUAAUGGUCUUCAGAGUCUUGAUGGAAGAAAAGUGUUGAACCUUGCUGCCAGUUCCUCUUCUGUGCAGUGUGAAGAGGGAAAGACAGUACAAGAAGCAUCUGAUGACAGCAGCUUAUCACUAUCAAAAAACAAGAAUGGUACUGGUUAUCUGGACGACUGGAUUCAAGAUAAGGAAAACAGUACCCACAUUUUGGUACCUCAACCUGUGGCCAACUUCAUCUACUUUGUAGCAUUUAUACCCCUUAAUUUAAUAAAUCUUGCUUUAGACUUCCACUGGCCUUUUGGCAAACUCAUGUGUAAGCACAACACCAUGGUACUUAUUCUGAACAUGUUUGAUAGUGUCUACAUUCUGGUGGUGAUUUAAAAAAAUGUAUGUAAGGGUUGUGACUUUGGGUGUUUGGGGGGUGGCUUUGAUGAUCGGCUUUCCAUAUUCCAUCAUCAUGGACACAGAGCAAGCGUGUAAGAAUGAAAGCAAAACUCUCUGCUUAAACAGCUACGCGGUUUCUGAUGACUGUAAUGCAGAAUCUCCCAAUAUACUGCGACAAUUUCAUCAUCCACCAAUUAUCAUCGCCUGCUUCCUUGUGCUUUUUGCAGUCCCAUCUACUGUCAUUGUCUCCUCUUAUGUUGUCACAAUCAAAACAAUCAUCUCAAAAGAAACCACUGGCCACCUAGUUGAGUCGUUCCAUUGCUGUUAUCAUCAGCUUUUUUUCUGUGCUGAGCUCCUAUUCAUAUUAUGGAUCAAAUUGUGAAAGCUAAAAAAAAAUGGAUACUUCAAAUUGUAUCAUUGGCAUCCCUUUGGCCACCAAUAUGGCCUUUCUCAACAGCUGCCUGAAUCCACUGCUGCAUGUGUUUAUGGAAUAAGAUUUUAAGAAAGAAGUCUGCAAAUCCAUUAUGAAUGUAUUCGAAACUGUCCUCCAGGAGGAGGAGAAACACUCUCACACUUACAAUAAGUCCGUAAACACAAAUACAACUCAGUUUUAAAUGCUAAUGUUCGAGGCUUGCAAUGACUUAAAGAAACAAAGAAACAAAAGAAACAUUACUCCAGAGGAAAUCUUUCUAAACCUGAUUGUUUGAAUUGUAUAAAAAUAUAACUGUUCUUAUAAUGUUAAUUAGAUGGCAGUAGCUAAAGUUGUUCAUGUCUCUUUAACUCACAGUUGCAGUUUGUGCUAUGUUUGUACGAUUAUGGAACUAAAAGUGGUUGUAAAAUGCCACUUCCUGGAAAAUAGAAUGAGUCAGUAAUUUCAAAAUAAGUAUUACAUUUGUUUCUGGUCGACUUUGUGUAACACAACACUUGGACAUGUGACUUGUCCCACAAAUGCCAUAUUAGGUAAGAGAGGUGGGCAUUUAAACUAUUAACUAUAUAAUAAAGAUAACACAUUCAGUCAAUAUAUUUAUUAUGACCAGAAUACCACUGAGUUCCUUGUAAGACCAUCAUGUGAAUUUUCAUAUUUUUUCUUACUUAUUUAGCAUAACAGCAGUCUGGCAUAUUCCCUGUUAAUAUAUGACAUAAGAGUUAUGGUUGUUGUGUUUUAUCAUGUUUAACAUUUGCAGCUUUGUGUAAUUAUUUAUUAUUUAUUUUUACAUAUUAUUAUAUACUGUAUAACUUAAAUUCAAUUGCACUCUUCUCACCUUAGUCUUUUCCACCAUUGUUAAUUGUGACAUUUCCCUCUUUUGCCUAAAAUGCCAUUUAGUUUUAGUCUUAAUUUAGGCAUCUUAAAAAAGAGAGAGAGAAAAUGUUUUGCAUAUUUGCUUGCAUAUGUUAGUAUUUAGUUUUACUAAAUAUAUAUCUAUUUUUAGUUUUGUUCAGUAUCUGAUCCCAUCUUUUAUGAUCACAACAACAUUUAAGACUUUGUUUCCUGUUUUAGAUGUUUAUCAGGCAUUCAGUAUCAUAAUCAUUUAUGUUUGUUUAUAUUUUCCUUUUUCAUUAGAGAUUACCGAAAACAAACUGCCUCGGCUCCAUCACGAUAAGGGUCUAUGCCCUGCAACCUUUGCUUAUGUUUCUGUUAUCUUUUCUUUCUGUCUGGGAACUACAGAUAAAAAAAUUGGCUCAUAGCUAAAUCUGGUACAUUUAAAGCAAUGUUUAUUAAAAUGCAUUGUCCCUGUUACAAAUAAAGAAUUAAGGUUAUAAAGUCUAUAUAGUCUCCACUUCUACCACGUCUAGAAUGUUUGAUUUAUAAUCAGAAAAAAUAUUAUAGAAGGGGUGUGACGUCAGACUGCAAAAUCUGCUGGAAGCCUCAUGUUAGAAAUCUAAAAACAAAAAUAGCAAAGAGCAUCCCAGUGUUGGGGAAAACAAGGCACAUUCUGAACCACUAAUCAUUGGAUAUUUAAAACUGUUCAAUGGUUUGAUCUCACUUAAAUUGUGUUGAGUGU